UACAGAGGGGGCAAGCGUUGUUCGGAAUUACUGGGCGUAAAGGGCGCGUAGGUGGCCUUCUAAGUUGAACGUGAAAUCCCUGGGCUCAACCCAGGAACUGCGUCCAAGACUGGGAGGCUUGAAUCCGGGAGAGGGAUGCGGAAUUCCAGGUGUAGCGGUGAAAUGCGUAGAUAUCUGGAGGAACACCGGUGGCGAAGGCGGCAUCCUGGACCGGUAUUGACGCUGAUGCGCGAAAGCCAGGGGAGCAAACGGG
rnacentral:rRNA from 1 species